ACUAUCUAGAUCUACUCUAGUUUAGAGAAGAGAGGAGAGCUCUCAUCUCUAAACCCUAGCUUUUGCUCUGUCUAUGAAUAAUGAAUAAUGAUCAAGGGGGUGCCUCCUCCAGGGGCCAGGGGGUCUGGUUUUAUAGUCCCCUCAAGUGAACCUGGGCCGUCGGAUCAAACCGACAUUGAUUGAACGGUUAUUCUUGAUCCUUUAGGUCGGUGGAGCAUAAUCCGCGAGAUUGAGCGUGAUUGGCCGAAAAAGGUGGGCGGGCGCCCUAAGGACUUGGGCGGGCGCCCUGUCCCUGACUCCGUUCGGUCUCCGCUUCCUUCCCGUGGCUUCUGGAGUCUUCUAGAUGUAAGAUAAUUGCGCGGCACGUUGAUAUCUCUAUGUAAUCCCGACGUGUGGGCCUUUCUUCCGUAUUUCCUGAUAACCCCCUGCAGAAAUAGACAAACACCAAAACUCGUGGAAUUCUGUCACAUAAAACCCUAAGUCUAGAUGUUGAUUUCAUUUGGAUCCUUUUCUUUGUUUAUUUGAUAAUUAAAUUUGAUACUUAAGGACCGCAACAAACUCCCUCAAGCUUACCUCUUGCUCGUCCCUGAGCAAGGAUAGACUCAGCAAUGGAUCAGAAGUUGUUGCAAUAUCUUAAAAAUUUGACGGUACACAUGCUUUUUAAAUAAGUUCUCAUCUCUGAGUUAGAGUAAACUGUCAAGAACUAAAACUUACUUACUUUACCUUUCACCAUGGGACUUGUAACCGUCACUUCUGUCUUGAGUAGUUAAAAGAUAGAACAAUCUAGCCAAGUGCCAUGCCUCUUAUUCUUGAUCAGCUAUCGCUCUGGAGUUUUUGCAGAUUUUCAAAUAAAACUCAGAGAUUCCUUUGUAUGACUCUCUCAUAUCUCUCUUUUGUGGUAUUUCUGGAUCCUUACCAAGGCAGUGAUGGUAUAUGCCUUCUCUCAAAAUAUGUGGUAUUUGUGGUAUAAGGCAUAGUGACAUUGCCUUCUCUCUCACCCUACUCUAAUAAGGCUUUAAUAUCUGGAGCUCAUAGGUGAGAUAAAGUAUACAUACUUACAAGACAUUUAUUGUAUAGUCAAACCAUGGAUCCAAAGAAAAAAAUCAAUAAGCCAAAUCAAGAUGUGCAUGUGUGGCGAAUGAAUGGUGUAUAGUGAUGAUGGUGAUAACAAUGGUGAAAGUCUAAUUCUACUUUUGCUCUUAUGAGGGGAUACAUACCUUCCUUGCUUUUUGAAACUUUAUGAGGAGAAUGAGAUGCUCUUCUUUUUCUUUCCUCUCAGGUGGGUAUCUUGUACCCCUAAUUCUACUGUCGGACACUUGUCCAUUUUUACCUCUCGUCUCACUUUUUCUUUCUUUCGAGGUUCCGGGCACUUGCCCCUUUUUAUUUUCUCGUUUAUUAUUAUUUUUUUUCUUUUCUUCUCUUUUCUCUUUUUUUUCAGAGCACUCAUCUCCUGAAAUAAUGUAGCAAGUGGUAGUAACCAAAAUAACUGGAGCAUUUAUUUCACAGGGAAUAACAGGGAUAGAAAAAUAUUUUUGGCUAUUCUCUCCCGGAUUAGGAGUAGAAUGAUUUUGGGUGAAACUGGAGAUGGAAAUGGAUGGAUAUAUGUGGAUGGUACUUCCGGAGUAGAAGUAGCAUCUAUGAGUGAACGUGCAAGUGAAUCUUAAUUUAACCACAUGACAAGCUCCUAAGGGUCUACACAGCUUGACCACACUCAAUGCUCAUAAGCAGUAAAUAAAUGUGUGGCUCAAAGUCUAGCAAGCAUGUAUAUAUGGCUGUGAUAGGAAUUUAAACUUUCAUCAUACAGGAACUCAUCAUGCAAUAUUUUAAAGAUUUUUCAAAGAUAAAAUUCUCCAGAAUUCUAGCAUCUCUAGGAAUAGAUAAACAGCAGCUCAACCUUCCCAUAUCAUAUCCGUUAACAACUUAGAUUUCAGAUCAAGUUUUCAUCCCACAAGUUUAGAUCUAGAGCAAGCUUUAUAUUAUAACAGUUAUGUCUAAACUUGAGAGAGAACUUCAAAUUAGGCAGAGCAACUAUUCAUCAUAUCCAUGCUAGAGUUUUAUUAUUAAGAAUCAUAGCAAACUUUAUUUAUUUAUUUAUUUAGCAAACUAAGAAAAGAUAUAUAUAUAUAUAUAAGCAUAAAAUCUUUAUUUGGUUUUUCAUAGUUUAUGUAUUUUAAUAUUCUAAUAUAAUAUAAGUAUACAGAUAGGUAGAAAUACUUAGCGAGAUAAAUAGGGGUGCUCUCUCCCAAGCUGAAUUUUGACGUAAUUUCUCUUGAUGUAGCUAGCAGGUGGCAGAGGUGUAUUUGAAAGUCAGCAGCAUUCUGACAGCGAUUAGAAUGUCCUCCAUCUGCUAGUCUUCUUGAUUCUUAAAUUCUGUGGAGCUCAAAUAGACAACAAAGCUUGUGGAACUAAUUAAGUGUUAGCAUAAAUAUCUAGCCUUCAUCACGUUGAGCUUCCUCAAUAAAUAUUACUCCCUAUUUUUAUAUUUUUAUUUUAUAAAGUAAAAAAGAAAUAUUUAUUUUAUUUUUAUGCCACCACAGUGAAGGUACUUAUGGGUUUUAUGCCACUCGUAUACUCACAUGGGGCUUAGUAUUUUUUUUAACAUUUUUAUUUUCUUUUCAAAAUAGCAUGAUUAACUAAUAAUCUAUUUAUGGCAAGUAAAUAAUUAAAGGGAAAAGAGAAUGCAGAAAGGAUAAAUAUGGAUAACUACCAAUCUUACCUUUCGGCGAGGGUUCAAUGUUUUAAGUCUUCUUGACAAGACUUCUCACCGUGUUCAUUCUUCAGGUGCGUCAUUUGAUUCAGGUGCGGACCUUGACGUCUGCACCUUUUAAUACGGUGUCACCCAUGUUCUUCGUUUGCCCAGCAGUUCGAAGUGCGGUGUUAGCAGUAUCUUGCUCAGUGUGUUUGUGCUCGUAGUGUACCUGCUCAUAGAGACAAGGCAGAGAUCAAGUGCAUGGGCCCUGUUGGUGGAAAACACCAACAGAACCAAAAGUGUAUUUGUUCUUCUCUAACCUUAAGCAUAGUGAGCAAGACAAAGUGGAUGGAUGAUAAGUUCAUGAGUGUAGCACUUAUAACAUUUGUCAGAUCAGAUCGCUCAACCUUAUGGAAAGAUAAUCUAUUUAUGUAUAUGUCUUUUUCUUUAUAUCUCUCAAUGAUUGAAUGUGUAACAUUUUAGCUCAUAUGAUUAGGAGUGGUGGGAUCAUGGAGGUAGUACUAAGAACAAGGAUUAAAGGACUAAAUAUGUUGAAUCAGUUGGGUUGGUUAAUCUAGAGUUGUAAAUUAUACACGUUUGUCUCUUUUAUUUAUAUGAACGCCAGAACCAAGGAGAAGCUUAUAAAAGUGAUAGUCAAGUAUCUUAAGAUGUUACCUUGCUUGAAGAGUGAUGGUACAGUAUCAUCUUGUGGAAGAUUUCCUUUCUUAGCGGUUGUGCAUCGUGUUUGUGGCACCCUCCAUGGAUCAUCUCUCUAUGAUGAAUGAGCUAUGUCCUUCUUGUGCAAAUUGUUAAACUUCAUGUGUCACUCUCUUCGUCUCUGAUGUGAGUUUAUCUCAGGACUUCCCAAAUCGAUAUUGAAAGUUUUUUUCUGCAGGGGUUAGUUCCACAAAAUAUACCAUUAUCUACUCAAGCAGUUUUUUUUAGUUCAAUCACCAAACUAGACUCCAUGUCUAAUCAGAUUAAGGAAGGCUAUUUAACCUAAGCACCAUGCUUAAUUUAAAUGCCAAUGGAAGUAUGGCGAGUACUUCCAAACCAACACUUGCUAGUAAAUAGACAAAGGUAGCAUGACAGCAUUUAUAGAGAUCUACUCAAGUGGAGAUGAAGUAGUGUGAUUAGUAUUUAACAAAUUGAGCAUGUCUCAAAGGUAGGGACAACCAGCAUAGCAACAUGGUAAAGGAUGUUUUUAUGUAAAGUACUCCCCAAAGCUUGAAUUUUGCAAAAUUCAAGUUUGGAUGAAUUUAAUUCAAUGUUGUAUGAUGAUUGGUUGGACAUACCUUGUGCUUGUCAUUCAUCCGAUCUUCUUGCUCCAAUCCUAGAAAGGUUAGUGACAAGAAUACCCGAAGGAAUAUUUUUUUACAAUUAUCCUUAUAUGCUCAAUACACAAGGUAAUGUUGCAAAUAAUUAAAAGCUCAUGUUACGAUAUGAUCAAUGCUUAUUUUAAGACACUAAGCUUGUCCUUGGGAAACCAUUAGUUUAUGUUGGCGAAGUGGUUUCCCCUCCGAUGCCAACCUAUAUCUAGAUCAAUUCAACGAGAUCUGCAAUAUUUAUUAUAGACAUAUGCAUCGACAACCGCCCUUUUAAAGUUUUUAUAAAUAGAAAGGAAGAGGGGGUUGGAGAUCUCAAGUGUGGUGAUGUCGGAGAGACAAAUAGAUUGGGAAGAUGUUGCAUAUGAGCAUGGAGUAAACAAAGUGGCUAUGAAAUAAAUUCCAUGCUCAUUAAUGUUAUCUUCGUCUCCAAUCUGAAUGUUCAGAGUUUCUCUUGGAUUGGUCUCACUUAUGUCCUCUUCUAUAGUUGGAUGAAUCUCAUCUUCAAAGGGAGUCAAGAACACACCAUUUGAAAUUGAGCCAUAGUCAGAAUCCAUUAAGGCUUCUUCCUUAUCCAUCCAUUCUACACAUUCUAGCCAUUUAGAACUUGUGAUCAGGAAAGGGGAGGUGUUAGAAUUUUCAAUAUGGCUUAGCUCUCCUUCACUUGAUAUGUCAUCCUCGACUUCUUCAUAACAGGAAUGAGGACAUUCUCUAAGAGAAACAUUAUUGCAAUGAUUUGAAUUAUCCCUGCUUGAAGGUCUCUUAUAGAACCAGAAGUCUAAACCAUCAGCAUCUAAAAGAUUUAAGGUCGGAAUUCCUUCCUCCCUUGGAGAAUUUUGGGGUAUUGAUGGUUUAGGAUCGAUAGCUAAAGUUUGGGAUUGAAGUGGUUGUAAUCUGGCUAUCGAAACUUCUUCUUCUUGUCUAGGAACUGGUUCUUUCUGUUUCUCAGGGAUAUAAAAGCUAGGAGACUUUCCGCUCAUUAAAUCAAUCAAAUUCCAAGCUUCACUAGCGGAUAGGUGGUGGAAAUAUCCUCCAGAGGCCGCAUGAAGGGUUUGCCUAUUUUUCCAACUAAGGCCCUCAAAAAAGUGAAUUAGAAGAACUUCUUCUGAAAUAGAAAGUUUUGGGCCAGUGAGAGUAAGGUUAAUAAGCGGUCCCAUGAUUUGCCAAGAGAUUCUUCUUCCAGUUGUCUAAAAGAAAGAAUCUCACGCCGAAGUUCCACCACUUUGGAGAUUGGAAAAUAUUUAGAAAGAAAACUACUAUAUAACUCCUUCCAAUCUCCAUGAACACUCCCUACUUUGAGUUUAUACCAAUGUCUAGCUUUUCCCGUUAAAGAGAACGGAAAGAGCUUCCAUUUAAGGGUCUCAUCGGACAUGCCUUCUAUGCGAAGGAGGUCACAGAUUCGAUAAAACUCUCUUAGGUGUGUGUAUGGGUUUUCCACACCUUCUCCUGAGAAAGGUUGUUUUUGAAUAAAUUCUAUGUAUUCGGGGUCUAUCUCAAAACUAGAUGCUAUGAUAGGCUUUGAAGAUUUUGGUGGUUCGAGAUGUGUGCCCAUAGGUCUAUAAAAUUCAUAGAUAGACAUGUUUGAAUUCAUAAUAGACCAGAGAUCAAGGAUUAAAUAAGAAGAAAGAAUAGCAGAGAUGAGGCAAAGGAUAAAAGGAAAAUAUUUUUUUUGUUAUAUUUUUUUUAUAAAAUGAUUAAACUAGUUCGUAGUCAACUCAGCAACCGUUUCCUCGGCAACGGCGCCAAAAAUGCUUGUUGACACUUGCUAACACCACUUGAAUACUAGGUUGUCAUCCCCAGCAUGGCACUAGAGUGUACUAUGGUAUUUAUACGCACACAGAUAAUCCGCAAGCGCACGGAUACCGUUGAAGCUUUUACCCGGUUAAAGGUUUUAUCUUAUCCACAAGGAAACGGGAGAACCAACUACGCUCUAACUUAACCAAGAUAGAUAGAUAGGUGUAAAUAGCAAAGAUGAUAGAAUCGAAUAAGAACAAUAUUAAAGGUUAGAUAACAGUGAGUGAUAAUAUGGGAAUAGAGAAUAGAGCAAUUCUAGUAUAUGGGCGAUGGUAGCAGAAUAGAGAGGAUAACUAUGGUUUCUCUACUUCAAAGGGGUAUGUCUAUGUCUGGGACGAACCACGUGAUAAGAGUACACCACAAAGGAUGCUUAUCCAUAGGCCGAUAAACCCUACCCGUCCUGCUAACGAGAGGUGGACUACAGGGGACCAACGUAACUGUCACCUACGCGGCCUACCACACGAUCCAGCUAGUCAGGGGAUAUCCACAAGUAAUCUAGGUCUAAGCACCACGCUUACACCUAUACUACAACUCUAACCUAUAGGGUCCUAUAGAUUAGAAGUACUCAAAAGAGUUGUGAACCAGAACAUACAUGAUUAGUAAUUGCAUAAUGAAUUAGAAGUAGAUUACCAGAGUCAUCCCAUGAGCAAGCUUGAUUAGAGCUUGAUCAUGGCGAACUACAACCGGAGGAAGAACCGACAGGCCGGCCUCUCCUCUAAUCCUCCUUCGCUCUCCAUCUCGCUACUAUCUAGAUCUACUCUAGUUUAGAGAAGAGAGGAGAGCUCUCAUCUCUAAACCCUAGCUUUUGCUCUAUCUAUGAAUAAUGAAUAAUAAUCAAGGGGGUGCCUCCUCCAGGGGCUAGGGGUUCUGGUUUUAUAGUUCCCUCAAGUGAACCUAGGCCGUCGGAUCAAACCGACAUUGAUUGAACGGUUAUUCUUGAUCCUUUAGGUCGGUGGAGCAUAAUCCGCGAGAUUGAGCGUGAUUGGCCGAAAAAGGUGGGCGGGCGCCCUAAGGACUUGGGCGGGCGCCCUGUCCCUGACUCCGUUCGGUCUCUGCUUCCUUCCCGUGGCUUCUGG
rnacentral:lncRNA from 1 species